GGCAGCAGUUAGGAAUCUUCCGCAAUGGACGGAAGUCUGACGGAGCGACGCCGCUUGGAGGAGGAAGCCCUUCGGGGUGUAAACUCCUGAACUGGGGACGAAAGCCCUGAUGAGGGGGAUGACGGUACCCAGGUAAUAGCGCCGGCCAACUCCGUGCCAGCAGCCGCGGUAAUACGGAGGGCGCGAGCGUUACCCGGAUUUACUGGGCGUAAAGGGCGUGUAGGCGGCCUGGGGCGUCCCAUGUGAAAGGCCACGGCUCAACCGUGGAGGAGCGUGGGAUACGCUCAGGCUAGAGGGUGGGAGAGGGUGGUGGAAUUCCCGGAGUAGCGGUGAAAUGCGCAGAUAUCAGGAGGAACACCAGUGGCGAAGGCGGUGCUCUGGGCCGGAACCGACGCUGAGGAGCGAAAGCAUGGGGAGCGAACAGGAUUAGAUACCCUGGUAGUCCAUGCCGUAAACGUUGGGCACUAGGUGUGGGGUCUUCUUAACGGAUUCCGUGCCGUAGCUAACGCAUUAAGUGCCCCGCCUGGGGAGUACGGCCGCAAGGCUAAAACUCAAAUGAAUUGACGG
rnacentral:rRNA from 1 species